rnacentral:rRNA from 1 species
GACGAACGCUGGCGGCGUGCUUAACACAUGCAAGUCGAACGGAAAGGCCCUGCUUUUUUGGGGUGCUCGAGUUGCGAACGGGUGAGUAACACUUGAGUAACCUGCACUUGACUUUGGGAUAACCUCAGGAAACUGGGGCUAAUACCGGAUAGGAGCUCCUGCUGCAUGGUGGGGGUUGGAAAGUUUCGGCGGUUGGGGAUGGACUCGCGGCUUAUCAGCUUGUUGGUGGGGUAGUGGCUUACCAAGGCUUGGAAGGGUAGCCGGCCUGAGAGGGUGACCGGCCACAUUGGGACUGAGCUACGGCCCAGACUCCUACGGGAGGCAGCGGUGGGGAAGAUUGCACAAUGGGCGGAAGCCUGAUGCAGCAACGCCGCGUGCGGGAUGACGGCCUUCGGGUUGUAAACCGCUUUCGCCUGUGACGAAGCGUGAGUGACGGUAAUGGGUAAAGAAGCACCGGCUAACUACGUG